rnacentral:rRNA from 1 species
CGGCGGACGGGUGAGUAACGCGUGGGUAACCUGCCUUAUACAGGGGGAUAACAGUUAGAAAUGACUGCUAAUACCGCAUAAGCGCACAGUACCGCAUGGUAGUGUGUGAAAAACUCCGGUGGUAUAAGAUGGACCCGCGUCUGAUUAGCCAGUUGGCGGGGUAACGGCCUACCAAAGCGACGAUCAGUAGCCGACCUGAGAGGGUGACCGGCCACAUUGGGACUGAGACACGGCCCAAACUCCUACGGGAGGCAGCAG